rnacentral:rRNA from 1 species
AUGCAUGUCUAAGAAUAAACCGAAUAUGGUAAAUCCGCGAAUGGCUCAUUACAACAGCCAUAAUUUAUUGGAUCUGAAAUCCUUACUUGGAUACCUGUGGUAAUUCUAGAGCUAAUACACGCACUCAAGCCCUGACUUCGGAAAGGGCGCAUUUAUUAGAACAAGACCAAUUGGCUUCGGCCAUCUAUUGGUGAAUCUGAAUAACUACGCAGAUCGCACAGGCUCGUCCUGGCGACAUAUCCUUCAAGUGUCUGCCUUAUCAACUGUCGAUGGUAGUUUAUUGGACUACCAUGGUUGUAACGGGUAACGGAGAAUUAGGGUUCGACUCCGGAGAGGGAGCCUGAGAAACGGCUACCACAUCCAAGGAAGGCAGCAGGCGCGCAAAUUACCCACUCUCAGCUCGAGGAGGUAGUGACGAAAAAUAACGAGACAGUCUUCUAUGAGGUCUGUCAUCGGAAUGGGUACAAUUUAAACCCUUUAACGAGGAUCUAUUGGAGGGCAAGUCUGGUGCCAGCAGCCGCGGUAAUUCCAGCUCCAAUAGCGUAUAUUAAAGUUGUUGCGGUUAAAAAGCUCGUAGUUGGAUCUGCGACCAUCAAGACCGGUAGCCCAUUGGGUUUCACUGGUUCUUGUGGUCUCCUUACUGGUUUUUCCUUGGUGCUCUUAACUGAGUGCCUUGGUUGGCUAGUGCUUUUACUUUGAAAAAAUUAGAGUGCUCAAAGCAGGCGUUUGCCUGAAUAGUGGUGCAUGGAAUAAUGGAAUAGGACCUCGGUUCUAUUUUGUUGGUUUUCGGAGCUCGAGGUAAUGAUUAAGAGGGACAGACGGGGGCAUUCGUACUGCUGCGUUAGAGGUGAAAUUCUUGGAUCGCAGCAUGACGAACAACUGCGAAAGCAUUUGCCAAGAA